rnacentral:tRNA from 1 species
GCUCCCGUGGCGGAAUUGGCAGACGCGCAUGGCUUAGGACCAUGUCUCUCACGAGGUGAAGGUUCGAGUCCUUUCGGGAGCA